rnacentral:rRNA from 1 species
GAGACCUGCGUUUACACUUGCUAACGAGCCUUUUUAGGCGGUCGAGCACAGUGUAAAGACUGCCCUCGAAAGGGGGAGGAAGGUGCAGGCUACGAUAGGUCUGUAUGCUCCGAAUCUGCUGGGCUACACGCGCGCAACAAUGAUAAGGACAAUGGGAUGCAACUCCGAAAGGAGAAGCUAAUCCUCGAAACCUUACCCUAGUUCAGAUUGAGGGUUGUAACUCACCCUCAUGACGAUGGAAUCCCUAGUAACCAGAGGUUAUCAGCCUCUAGUGAAUAU